CGGCGGUGAGGACAGACCUACUGUGCUGAGUUACCGUGAUGCUUCUAUACGCUAUUCUGAGCCGGCC